GCUUUGAAGUGUGGACGCCAGUCUGCAUGGAGCCGACCUUGAAAUACCACCCUUUAAUGUUUGAUGUUCUAACGUGGACCCGUGAUCCGGGUUGCGGACAGUGUCUGGUGGGUAGUUUGACUGGGGCGGUCUCCUCCUAAAGAGUAACGGAGGAGCACGAAGGUUGGCUAAUCCUGGUCGGACAUCAGGAGGUUAGUGCAAUGGCAUAAGCCAGCUUGACUGCGAGCGUGACGGCGCGAGCAGGUGCGAAAGCAGGUCAUAGUGAUCCGGUGGUUCUGAAUGGAAGGGCCAUCGCUCAACGGAUAAAAGGUACUCCGGGGAUAACAGGCUGAUACCGCCCAAGAGUUCAUAUCGACGGCGGUGUUUGGCACCUCGAUGUCGGCUCAUCACAUCCUGGGGCUGAAGUAGGUCCCAAGGGUAUGGCUGUUCGCCAUUUAAAGUGGUACGCGAGCUGGGUUUAGAACGUCGUGAGACAGUUCGGUCCCUAUCUGCCGUGGGCGCUGGAGAACUGAGGGGGGCUGCUCCUAGUACGAGAGGACCGGAGUGGACGCAUCACUGGUGUUCGGGUUGUCAUGCCAAUG
rnacentral:rRNA from 1 species